AACAAUCUGUAAAAGUCUCAGAGUAUAAAUAUGUUCUGUGUUCAGGAGCUGAUGAUUACUAUCCCUUUUGCGGUGCCAUAAAGGGAGAAACAAUUGAGUUUAGUUCAGACACUCUGUUGCCCAGACUGCAUCUGGUUCAGGAUAAAUAUAUAUUCUCCUUCAAAGUUCUUGCUGGUGAACAAGAAAAGAUGGCGUUUUGUGGUAACGUCUCUCUUAUUCAGAAGGAAUAAGAACAGGCUAUGGAAGUUAUUUCUGGAAAAAUGAAAAAAAAAUUUUUUUCGUAAGCCCCUCCUCAAGAACAUUUUUGAGCCUCACAACUUGCACAUUAUGUAAACCAACAGGAAAGCAAUGCGAGAUUAUUAUGUCCUUGAGUUUCAAAUCCAUAUGCCAACAAGCCACACUAGCACACACUAGCAAACACUACAACACACACUACAACACACUACAACACACACUACAACACACACUACAACACACACUACAACACACACUA